rnacentral:rRNA from 1 species
GGCCCCUUUUUGGGGGUGCUCGAGUGGCGAACGGGUGAGUAACACGUGGGUGAUCUGCCCUGCACUUCGGGAUAAGCUUGGGAAACUGGGUCUAAUACCGGAUAGGACCAUGGGAUGCAUGUCUUGUGGUGGAAAGCUUUUGCGGUGUGGGAUGGGCCCGCGGCCUAUCAGCUUGUUGGUGGGGUGAUGGCCUACCAAGGCGACGACGGGUAGCCGGCCUGAGAGGGUGUCCGGCCACACUGGGACUGAGAUACGGCCCAGACUCCUACGGGAGGCAGCAGUGGGGAAUAUUGCACAAUGGGCGCAAGCCUGAUGCAGCGACGCCGCGUGGGGGAUGACGGCCUUCGGGUUGUAAACCUCUUUCACCAUCGACGAAGCUGCCGGUUUUCCGGUGGUGACGGUAGGUGGAGAAGAAGCACCGGCCAACUACGUGCCAGCAGCCGCGGUAAUACGUAGGGUGCGAGCGUUGUCCGGAAUUACUGGGCGUAAAGAGCUCGUAGGUGGUUUGUCGCGUUGUUCGUGAAA